AUUGAACGCUGGCGGCAAGCCUAACACAUGCAAGUCGAACGAGUGGCGGACGGGUGAACAAUGUCUGAGAAAGUGCGUGAUGGAGGGAGCACACUACGGGAAACGGUCGAUAAUAGCGCAAAACACCGGAUGUGCCGAGAUGGGAUUGGCUACUAGGUGGGGAAAAGGCUCACCAAGGCGAAGAUCCCUAGCUGGUCUGAGAGGAUGACCAGCCACACUGGAACUGAGACACGGUCCAGACUCCUACGGGAGGCAGCAGUGGGGAAUAUUGCACAAUGGGCGAAAGCCUGAUGCAGCCAUGCCGCGUGUAUGAAGAAGGCCUUCGGGUUGUAAAGUACUUUCAGCGGGGAGGCGUUACCCGCAGAAGAAGCACCGGCUAACUCCGUGCCAGCAGCCGCGGUAAUUC
rnacentral:rRNA from 1 species